rnacentral:tRNA from 1 species
GCUCUUGUGGUGCAGUGGCUACACACUCAGUUGCUAACUGAAAGGUCAGUGGUUCAAACCCACCAGCAGCU